GUGUCAGCAGCCGCGGUAAUACGGAGGGUGCAAGCGUUAUCCGGAUUCACUGGGUUUAAAGGGUGCGUAGGCGGGUUGGUAAGUCCGUGGUGAAAUCUCCAAGCUUAACUUGGAAACUGCCGUGGAUACUAUCAAUCUUGAAUAUAGUGGAGGUGAGCGGAAUAUGUCAUGUAGCGGUGAAAUGCUUAGAUAUGACAUAGAACACCCAUUGCGAAGGCAGCUCGCUACACUAUUAUUGACGCUGAGGCACGAAAGCGUGGGGAUCAAACAGGAUUAGAAACCCCUGUAGUCC
rnacentral:rRNA from 1 species